GCGGGCUACAUCGCUCUUUAAAUCUCUUCGGGGUGCAGACCAGGCACACCGCUGGCGCGACUCCUUUGACUAUCCCUUUGCAAACCCAGCCGUGCUCCAGCACUCCUCAGCAGCCAUACCUUUGUAAGGUUUACUGGUCCUGCCUCCCAGCAGGCCGCCUAGUCCUUGUUUUUUUGGGUUGAUUUUUUUUUUGUUUGUUUGUUUUCCUUACCCAUCCCAUUCGGUAUACCGCAUCCUUCUCCCCUGGCUCCAUCCCGAGCCCGGCAGGGUCCAUCCCCGCCAGCACCAAACCUCCGGUUGCCACAGGGACCACCACCACCUCUCCUCCCCCGGCUCCAAGAGCAGGCUGGAAAAGGGAAAGUCUGGUCAGCGGUGAGGGGCCAGGGGCCAAAACCCCUUCCCCUUAACGCACACCAUCCAGAAGGACCCCCAAACACCGGCGUCCCACCAGGACAUCCCACAAGCAGAGCAAAGACACCCAAAAGCACAGGGGACGUGCUGGUUGAGAGAAGGAAGAGCUGCUGAGCCACCCUCUCCCUGCUGCAAGGAAAGGAAAAAAAAAAAAUUAAAAAAGAAAGAAAAAAGAGCCUUGCUCUCCCCAUCCCCCACCCGAUCCAUUAAGAGCCGCUGAUGAUAUUUUCUGCUCCUUCCCAGAGGGAAGCAAAGUGUUACAGCGAGAGGAAGAGUCGGUCCAGCCUUCUUACACAACUCAUUAUCACUACAGCCUUUUGUCAGAGUGGAAAGCAGGCCACCAAGUCUAACGUCUCCACGGACUGGGAAACAGAUGUUUGAAAUGGGAUCUAGGAAACAAUAUACCCUAGCAGUGCUUUUUUUGUUGUUGUUUUAAAGCUUCAUUAAGUCUCUAGUUGUUGUAUUAUAUAUAUAUAUUUAUAUAUAAAGCUGUGCUUUAUACAAAGCACUCCAAGUAAGGACCAACCCAUUCAGAUGCGAGCCUGCAGAGAGGCUUUUCUACUGCCCACAAGCCAGCAGGACCGUCCACAUCCACUCCUAUAAAGACGCUUUGAAUGCCAGUGUUUUGCUAACUAUUUUAAUUGACAUGUGGGAAAGGAGGGGCAGCAGCACAGAGCUGCACAGCUUACCAUUCCUGCUGCAGUUCAGUGCCACUGGGUAGGUACCCACUCACCAAUUUGUACCUCCAUCCUCUUCUCUCCUCCCCCUACUGCCUUGCAGGGGAAAAGGAACACAGUUUGGGAAUCUUAGCCAAGCUCACAGGCAUUGCAGAUGCAACAAGGUGAAACCAUCAACACAUACACCUGAAUUUUCAACAUCUGCCUGACCAGCUCUCAGUGACAGCUAAUUUUAGCAAUCCACGUGAGUUCUUUGCUGGGUGUAACCACACCAUCUCCUCAAUCUGACAGUUUGCUGAAAAGACUGCUUUUCUAGAGGGCUGGAUAUCAAGGCUUCUGCCAUUCCAAGGACCUGCCCUGCUAAAAGAAGAGGUAACACAAACUACUUUUAUAAGAUAAAAAAAUAGACAGCUUGAGAAGUAAAAAACCUAUUGCUCUCCAACCACUGUACACAGCAAAAGAGUAGAAGGUGCUGGAACUUGAUGAUAAAGCCUCACACAAGCUGAAUAUAUUUCUUGGGAAGAUGGUAAUAAGCUGGAAGUUGAACAAAAUGCAGAGAGAUAAAUUAGUAACUCAGAGGAAAGCAACAAGUAAGGAGGGCUGAGGCUUGGUUAGAAUAAGUAGGUUAAUAGGGGCACCCAAACACUAACACACACAAUCACAGCCCCACUAAAAAACAUUCUAAAGGCCAGGAAAAGAAUUAACAAUUGUUCAUUUUCACAGCCACAACCAUAGAUGCUUAUGGUCUUUUUCAACACUAAUAAAUAUCCUAAGCAGCCAGUAGCA
rnacentral:lncRNA from 1 species